AUUGAACGCUGGCGGCAUGCCUUACACAUGCAAGUCGAACGGCAGCACGGGUGCUUGCACCUGGUGGCGAGUGGCGAACGGGUGAGUAAUACAUCGGAACAUGUCCUGUAGUGGGGGAUAGCCCGGCGAAAGCCGGAUUAAUACCGCAUACGAUCUACGGAUGAAAGCGGGGGACCUUCGGGCCUCGCGCUAUAGGGUUGGCCGAUGGCUGAUUAGCUAGUUGGUGGGGUAAAGGCCUACCAAGGCGACGAUCAGUAGCUGGUCUGAGAGGACGACCAGCCACACUGGGACUGAGACACGGCCCAUACUCCUACGGGAGGCAGCAGUGGGGAAUUUUGGACAAUGGGCGAAAGCCUGAUCCAGCAAUGCCGCGUGUGUGAAGAAGGCCUUCGGGUUGUAAAGCACUUUUGUCCGGAAAGAAAUCCUUGGCCCUAAUACGGUCGGGGGAUGACGGUACCGGAAGAAUAAGCACCGGCUAACUACGUG
rnacentral:rRNA from 1 species